rnacentral:rRNA from 1 species
GGUUGAUCCUGCCAGUAGUCAUAUGCUUGUCUCAAAGACUAAGCCAUGCAUGUCUAAGUAUAAAUGCUUUUAUACCGUAAAACUGCGGAUGGCUCAUUAAAUCAGUUAUAAUCUACUUGAUCGUAUACUCACUUGGAUAACCGUAGUAAUUCUAGAGCUAAUACAUGCAAAAGACCACGACUGUUGAUUCUAACGAAUCGGCGGAAGGAGGUGUAUUUAUUAGAUACAAAGCCAAUGCAGGGUACUCAAACCGUUCCAGAGGGGCAACUCUUUGGC